rnacentral:rRNA from 1 species
AGAAUCAACGCUGGCGGCGUGCCUAACACAUGCAAGUCGAACGCGAAAGCCCCGAAAGGGGUAAGUAGAGUGGCAAACGGGUGAGUAACACGUGGGUGACCUGCCUUCGAGCGGGGGAUAACGUCCCGAAAGGGACGCUAAUACCGCAUAACAUCCUGCCUUUGAAGAGGCGGAGAUCAAAGCUGGGGAUCGCAAGACCCGGCACUUGAAGAGGGGCCCGCGUCUGAUUAGCUAGUUGGUGGGGUAAUGGCCUACCAAGGCAACGAUCAGUA